AGAGUUUGAUCCUGGCUCAGGAUGAACGCUGGCGGCGUGCUUAACACAUGCAAGUCGAACGGAGUUAUCAUUUUUGAAGCAAUUAGCUUGCUAAGAGUGGAAAUGUUGAUAACUUAGUGGCGGACGGGUGAGUAACGCGUGGGUAACCUGCCAUAUACAGGGGGAUAACACUUAGAAAUAGGUGCUAAUACCGCAUAAGCGCACAGUACUGCAUGGUACAGUGUGAAAAACUCCGGUGGUAUAUGAUGGACCCGCGUCUGAUUAGCUGGUUGGCGGGGUAACGGCCCACCAAGGCGACGAUCAGUAGCCGGCCUGAGAGGGUGAACGGCCACAUUGGGACUGAGACACGGCCCAAACUCCUACGGGAGGCAGCAGUGGGGGAUAUUGGACAAUGGGGGGAACCCUGAUCCAGCGACGCCGCGUGAGUGAAGAAGUAUUUCGGUAUGUAAAGCUCUAUCAGCAGGGAAGAAAGAAAUGGCGGUACCUGAGUAAGAAGCCCCGGCUAACUACGUGCCAGCAGCCGCGGUAAUACGUAGGGGGCAAGCGUUAUCCGGAAUUACUGGGUGUAAAGGGAGCGAAGACGGUAAAGCAAGUCUGGAGUGAAAGGCUGGGGCCCAACCCCGGGACUGCUCUGGAAACUGUUAAACUGGAGUGCAGGAGAGGCAGGCGGAAUUCCUAG
rnacentral:rRNA from 1 species